AAGUUAUUUGCAGAGGAGAACAAGAUCAGGACUCUUCCUAACAAAGGCUGAGUAAGAAACUGGGUUUCUGACCUCUCUACCCCAGCAAGCUCAGAGUCCCCUGCCUUUCCUCUCUUCUGGCUCUGUGUGUUUGCAUUACUCACUCUGUGGUUAGAAGUUCAGGGAAGUAAUUCUGGAAAAGGAACUUUUGGAAAAAGUUGCCUGGAAAACAGGAUGCUGCUUGGAGUGUCAUUUCUCCUUAUCAAUUGAAUAUGGACUUAGACAACUCUGCUCAGAUGAAGUCUGGCUGUGUCACCCAGACUGGCAUGCAUUGGCGUGAUCUCAGCUCACUGCAACCUCCGCUUCCUGGGUUCAAGCACUUCUCCUGCCUCAGCCUCCUGAGUAGCUUAGGUUAAAGGCACACACCACCUCGAAUGGCUAAUUAACACGCAGAUUUUUAGACUGAUCAAGAAUAGAGCUUUUCACUUCAUCUCUUCCCCAAAGGCCCACAGACAGAAGGGUUUAGCCUUAUCUCAGAUGAGAUUUUGGACUUGGACUUUUGAAUUAAUCCUUCAAUGACCAUAGUUUAAGAAGAGAUAUCUUGAAAACACGGAAAGAGAAAAGUCAAUACGAUAUUUCCUAAUUUUUUAAGAGGUCAGAGAAGGGAGUUACCGCGUGGCCUGGAGCAGGUGAUUCUGACUACCAAGGGAAAAUUGGAGUACUACUCCACAGUGGAGGGUCUGCAGGAUGGACUCGGCAGCUGGUGCCCUGUGUGAGGAACGCUGCAACAGAUUGCGACAGAACCCUCGAAAACGAAGGUGAAGAGACUGUGCAGUCAUGUGACAGACACAUCAAACCAUACCAUGGCGUGGCUAAGACCCAAGCUGGUAUCAAAAAUAAAGGAAACGACGCUGCAGGACCCGCAGCCCCAGAUGAUGUGGCUUCCUCCGAUGACACAGGCCCCAGACAUUACCUGGGGGAAGCUGAAGAAGACAACUCAGGAGGCUGAGUGAAUCCUUCUCUGGACACAGCCACCAUUCACUCCAGAUAAUCUGUUCCUUGCUAUGCUCUCUGCUGUACCUUGCAACUCUCAUAGGGUAUUCACCUUUCUUAUUCUCUCACUUUGCCUGCAACUCAUACCUGCUACAUUCUAUUGGGCCCAUCUUCUAGAUCUGCCUUUCUUCCAACCUGUUACCUUGGCAGACACCCCCUUCCCAUCCUCUAAUAAUGUAACUGCUUAGCUGGGAGGGGUUGACAUGCCCCCAGUGGGGUUCCUUAAUAAUGGCACACAUUGAACUGAGGUGCCAAGUAACACUACAUCUCUCUCCUUGAUUGGAAAAGAAUAAUAGUGACUAUACUAAUGUUUGACUUAUGUUAUUUACUAAUUCUAGGAUGCAAAGCCGGAACACGAGCUGUAACCGCUGCGUCUGUCAAACCUGUCACUGCACACAUCUGUACUAUUCAAUCAACAAAACCCGAUGCUAAAAACAGAAAAGGGGGAGACGCGGGAGAUUGGUCAGAGUGGUAGGAGAAGGCAUAGGGAAAGGAACAGACCUCCUGAAAGGUGGGAAGGCUCUGGAUAGCUUCAGGGAUGAAUAAGCUGAAGGCAGCUGUUCUCUUACCCUGAGGCAGAGGGCAAGGGGUAGGUACAAGGAAGUGUAGGGGAAUUUGGCAUAAACAGGCUUGUUUACUUACAUUGUCCCGAAACCGACCUUUGAUCAUCAGCGCAGGAGACUGCUCCCUGAAAGGGGGAAUAAUAAUGUUAAUUACCCACAGAUUGUGUUGGCUCCAGGCUUUCAUUAUUUUGUCUGUACUGAAUAAAAGCAAGCAGCUCCAGCUGUUCGAGACUGCUCACUCUUCAGCCAUUAGUGCUGGGCAUUCCUGUAGCUGCUCUUACACUGCAUGCUUGUGUCUGAGUACUCCUUUCAUCCGU